rnacentral:misc_RNA from 1 species
AGGGAGAGAUUUUGUAGAAGAAAGUAGAAAUUUAGGUGAAACUUUGACAGAAUAUGAGAUAUAUAGCAGUUAUGUAAGAGAGAAUAUGUAGAUAAAGAAAAAAGAAGCAAUAUAAUACUAUUUCCAUGCGAUUUCAGCAGGGGAAUAAUUAAAGUAAUGGCCGUUAUCGUUAUGCGACGGUAAAUAAUGGCACUUGCAACUCUAGAUUUGUUCGUAAAUAACAGUGUAUCAUGUAAUGAACUCUUCCAAAACUUGUAAAUAAUGGUUAUUACAUUACAUAACGGCUGUUAUUUGAAACCAUUUGUGUUAAGCAGCGUAUAUGGGGGACAGGUUUCCACUUCAUGGUUUAUUUAAUCUGAUGAUUUGGUAAUUUGAU